UACGUAAAAAUGCGCAAUGAGCGUGAGCUUAGAGGGAAAUUGCAUGCGUAUGACCAACAUCUAAAUAUGAUUCUCGGUGACGUGGAGGAGACCAUAACCACUGUAGAAGUGGACGAAGAAACGUAUGAACAAAUUUACAAGACAUCAAGAC